GGCGGCGUGCUUAACACAUGCAAGUCGAGCGGAAAGGCCCUUCGGGGGUACUCGAGCGGCGAACGGGUGAGUAACACGUGAGUAACCUGCCCCUGACUCUGGGAUAAGCCCGGGAAACUGGGUCUAAUACCGGAUACGACACCCCCUGGCAUCGGGUGGUGGUGGAAAGUUUUUUCGGUCAGGGAUGGACUCGCGGCCUAUCAGCUUGUUGGUGGGGUAGUGGCCUACCAAGGCGACGACGGGUAGCCGGCCUGAGAGGGCGACCGGCCACACUGGGACUGAGACACGGCCCAGACUCCUACGGGAGGCAGCAGUGGGGAAUAUUGCGCAAUGGGCGGAAGCCUGAGCCAGCGACGCCGCGUGGGGGAUGACGGCCUUCGGGUUGUAAACCUCUUUCAGCAGGGACGAAGUUGACGUGUACCUGCAGAAGAAGCGCCGGCUAACUACGUGCCAGCAGCCGCGGUAAUACGUAGGGGAAAGCGUUGUCCGGAAUUAUUGGGCGUAAAGAGCUCGUAGGUGGCUGGUCGCGUCUGCCGUGAAAGCCGCAGCUUAACUGCGGGUCUGCGGUGGAUACGGGCCGGCUAGAGGUAGGUAGGGGCAAGUGGAAUUCCUGGUGUAGCGGUGAAAUGCGCAGAUAUCAGGAGGAACACCGGUGGCGAAGGCGGCUUGCUGGGCCUUACCUGACGCUGAGGAGCGAAAGCGUGGGGAGCGAACAGGAUUAGAUACCCUGGUAGUCCACGCUGUAAACGUUGGGCGCUAGGUGUGGGGAUCUUCCACGAUUCCGUGCCGGAGCUAACGCAUUAAGCGCCCCGCCUGGGGAGUACGGCCGC
rnacentral:rRNA from 1 species